CUUUACUUGGCCUACCGAAUUCGUGAUGUCGUUGCAGAAGGCCUUGGAGCUGAAAGCUUUCUUAGAUGAUCGCGGGCUUUUCGAGUUCUCCAUGUGUGAGCAAUUGAAGUGCUUAGAGCUUGUUAGAUAUUUAAGAUCAUGCUUCCUAGUUCUGCAAAGUCGUCCUCUAGUUCAUUGCUGCUUUUAAAAACAUGCUGCGAGUAGCUUGCGCGUGAGAGCUAUGAUCAAGUCAGGCUCCAUCUCGGACUACCCCGCUUUGGCCAUUUGGUUGCUCAACUCGUGCCUUUUCUUCACCCUGUAGUGUGUUAUUUUUGGGGUUUAGAUAUUGCCUUGCACAUUCAAAUGCUCGGCUCUGCUCUUCCACGCCACGCACUAGAGAAAACUGUUGCAAUCUGAAGACUCCAGCACCGCCACAGCUCAGGGACAUCUUGGAUCCUGGCACUCGGGAUCAGACAAGAAUUUAGUGUAGAUGAAUGGUGGUAAAAGCGAAAAUCCUUUGAAACUUACACUAUCUUCGAAGUUUUUUUUCCCCGGAUGACAAAUUAGACAGCCUUUUCUCAACAACAAAAUUUUAGACACUAGCAAGGUCCAUCCCAGAUUGAAACUCUGCAAAGCCCAAAUACUUACUGCCAAGAGUUUCAACAUAAUAUCAUAUUAUCAGUAGUGUUCCUUCCACUGCAAGUGUCCAAAGAAUGGCAGCAACAGUGGGCAGUGCACUGCAGAAAAAUGUUUUGGGGUGAGAAAAGAAAACAGAAAAGAAAAAGAAAAUACGGUGUGACAAGUUUGAUGGUU
rnacentral:lncRNA from 1 species